rnacentral:rRNA from 1 species
UACGUAGGGAGCAAGCGUUGUCCGGAUUUAUUGGGCGUAAAGGGUGCGUAGGUGGCGCUGUAAGUCGGGUGUGAAAUUUCGGAGCUUAACUCCGAAACUGCAUUCGAUACUGCGGUGCUUGAGGACUGGAGAGGAGACUGGAAUUCAUGGUGUAGCAGUGAAAUGCGUAGAGAUCAUGAGGAAGACCAGUGGCGAAGGCGGGUCUCUGGACAGUUCCUGACACUGAGGCACGAAGGCCAGGGGAGCAAACGGG